AACGAAGUGAAGCAUGUUAUUUAAUACGAAAGUACGCGUAAAAUCUUACCAGUUCUUGCAUAGCCAAUCCCUCUUAUUUUUUAAAGAUGAAAACUACUCCCUCCUUUAUUUCUUAUUUUUAUUAAGAAUAAAAAGGUAGGAGAACAUUUUUUUUUAAUUUAAGACUGGAUUGAGUGAUAAUUAUUUAUUAAUAAGUUUGAUUCCCUUUUCUUGUUUCUUCUCUAUCUUUAGCUAUAUAUUUGCUUUCGUAUUUCUAUUUAAGUAUGGGAAUCCUUCGAAGGCUAAAGUAGUCCCCUCCUUGCAUAGCAAGGAGGAUAGAAAUGAAGGAGACAAAAUAUUGUAAUAAUAUUUAUUUAUUUUAAUUUAUCCGUUUACAGGU
rnacentral:rRNA from 1 species